AUUGAACGCUGGCGGCAGGCCUAACACAUGCAAGUCGAGCGGAUGAAGGGAGCUUGCUCCUGGAUUCAGCGGCGGACGGGUGAGUAAUGCCUAGGAAUCUGCCUGGUAGUGGGGGAUAACGUCCGGAAACGGGCGCUAAUACCGCAUACGUCCUGAGGGAGAAAGUGGGGGAUCUUCGGACCUCACGCUAUCAGAUGAGCCUAGGUCGGAUUAGCUAGUUGGUGGGGUAAAGGCCUACCAAGGCGACGAUCCGUAACUGGUCUGAGAGGAUGAUCAGUCACACUGGAACUGAGACACGGUCCAGACUCCUACGGGAGGCAGCAGUGGGGAAUAUUGGACAAUGGGCGAAAUCCUGAUCCAGCCAUGCCGCGUGUGAAGAAGGUCUUCGGAUUGUAAAGCACUUUAAGUUGGGAGGAAGGGCAGUAAGUUAAUACCUUGCUGUUUUGACGUUACCAACAGAAUAAGCACCGGCUAACUUCGUG
rnacentral:rRNA from 1 species